rnacentral:rRNA from 1 species
UUCCGGUUGAUCCUGCCGGACCUGACUGCUAUCGGAUUGGUACUAAGCCAUGUGAGUCGUUGUAGCAAUACAAGGCAUACGGCUCAGUAACACGUAGUCAAUCUAACCUAUGGACGGGGAUAACCUCGGGAAACUGAGGAUAAAACCCGAUAGAUCAUAAUGCCUGGAACGGUUUAUGGUUCAAAUGAUUCGUCGCCGUAGGGUGGGACUGCGGCCUAUCAGCUUGUUGGUGAGGUAAUGGCCCACCAAGGCUAUUACAGGUACGGGCUCUGAGAGGAGUAGCCCGGAGAUGGGUACUGAGACACGGACCCAGGCCCUAUGGGGCGCAGCAGGCGAGAAACCUUUGCAAUGUGCGCAAGCACGACAAGGUUAAUCCGAGUGUUUCCUGUUAAAGGAAUCUUUUGUUAGUCGUAAAAUCACUAUUGAAUAAGGGGUGGGCAAGUUCUGGUGUCAGCCGCCGCGGUAAAACCAGCACCUCAAGUGGUCAGGAUGAUUAUUGGGCCUAAAGCAUCCGUAGCCUGUUCUGUAAGUUUCCGGUUAAAUCCAUUAGCUCAACUAAUGGGCCGCCGAAAAUACUGCAGAACUAGGGAGUGGGAGAGGUAGACGGUACUCGGUAGGAAGGGGUAAAAUCCUUUGAUCUAUUGAUGACCACCUGUGGCGAAGGCGGUCUACCAGAACACGUUCGACGGUGAGGGAUGAAAGCUGGGGGAGCAAACCGGAUUAGAUACCCGGGUAGUCCCAGCUGUAAACGAUGCAAACUCGGUGAUGCGCUGGCUUGUGGCCAGUGCAGUGCCGCAGGGAAGCCGUUAAGUUUGCCGCCUGGGAAGUACGUACGCAAGUAUGAAACUUAGAGGAAUUGGCGGGGGAGCACCACAAGGGGUGAAGCCUGCGGUUCAAUUGGAUUCAACGCCGGA